rnacentral:tRNA from 1 species
AGGGGUGUAGCGCCAAUUGGCAGAGCAGCGGAUUCCCCUAACCCCUGAAAACGGCGCGUGUUGGGAGUUCGAAUCUCUCCACCCCUACCA